rnacentral:rRNA from 1 species
AGGCGGCCCCCUGGACAAAGACUGACGCUCAGGUGCGAAAGCGUGGGGAGCAAACAGGAUUAGAUACCCUGGUAGUCCACGCCGUAAACGAUGUCGAUUUGGAGGUUGUGCCCUUGAGGCGUGGCUUCCGGAGCUAACGCGUUAAAUCGACCGCCUGGGGAGUACGGCCGCAAGGUUAAAACUCAAAUGAAUUGACGGGGGCCCGCACAAGCGGUGGAGCAUGUGGUUUAAUUCGAUGCAACGCGAAGAACCUUACCUGGUCUUGACAUCCACAGAACUUUCCAGAGAUGGAUUGGUGCCUUCGGGAACUGUGAGACAGGUGCUGCAUGGCUGUCGUCAGCUCGUGUUGUGAAAUGUUGGGUUAAGUCCCGCAACGAGCGCAACCCUUAUCCUUUGUUGCCAGCGGUCCGGCCGGGAACUCAAAGGAGACUGCCAGUGAUAAACUGGAGGAAGGUGGGGAUGACGUCAAGUCAUCAUGGCCCUUACGACCAGGGCUACACACGUGCUACAAUGGCAUAUACAAAGAGAAGCGACCUCGCGAGAGCAAGCGGACCUCAUAAAGUAUGUCGUAGUCCGGAUUGGAGUCUGCAACUCGACUCCAUGAAGUCGGAAUCGCUAGUAAUCGUAGAUCAGAAUGCUACGGUGAAUACGUUCCCGGGCCUUGUACACACCGCCCGUCACACCAUGGGAGUGGGUUGCAAAAGAAGUAGGUAGCUUAACCUUCGGGAGGGCGCUUACCACUUUGUGAUUCAUGACUGGGGUGAAGUCGUAACAAGGUAACCGUAGGGGAACCUGCGGUUGGAUCACCU